GUAGGUGGCAAGCGUUGUCCGGAAUUAUUGGGCGUAAAGCGCGCGCAGGUGGUUCUUUAAGUCUGAUGUGAAAGACCCCCGGGCUCAACCGGGGAGGGUCAUUGGAAACUGGGGAACUUGAGUGCAGGAGAGGAAAGUGGAAUUCCACGUGUAGCGGUGAAAUGCGUAGAUAUGUGGAGGAACACCAGUGGCGAAGGCGACUUUCUGGCCUGUAACUGACACUGAGGCGCGAAAGCGUGGGGAGCAAACAGGAUUAGAUACCCUGGUAGUCCACGCCGUAAACGAUGAGUGCUAAGUGUUGGGGGGGUUUCCGCCCCUCAGUGCUGCAGCUAACGCAUUAAGCACUCCGCCUGGGGAGUACGGCCGCAAAGACUG
rnacentral:rRNA from 1 species